GGAAUAUUGCACAAUGGGCGCAAGCCUGAUGCAGCGACGCCGCGUGAGGGAUGACGGCCUUCGGGUUGUAAACCUCUUUCAGUAGGGAAGAAGCCGCAAGGUGACGGUACCUGCAGAAGAAGCGCCGGCUAACUACGUGCCAGCAGCCGCGGUAAUACGUAGGGCGCAAGCGUUAUCCGGAAUUAUUGGGCGUAAAGAGCUCGUAGGCGGUUUGUCGCGUCUGCCGUGAAAGUCCGGGGCUCAACUCCGGAUCUGCGGUGGGUACGGGCAGACUAGAGUGAUGUAGGGGAGACUGGAAUUCCUGGUGUAGCGGUGAAAUGCGCAGAUAUCAGGAGGAACACCGAUGGCGAAGGCAGGUCUCUGGGCAUUAACUGACGCUGAGGAGCGAAAGCAUGGGGAGCGAACAGGAUUAGAUACCCCUG
rnacentral:rRNA from 1 species